UUCGGCCAAGCCACAAUUCACCCUUUUUUUGCGCACCUCCAGGAGAGUCCACUUUCUCUUUUAUUUUAUACGUAUAUGCAUUUGUGAUUGGCUGAUUGCUAUCACAUGGCACAGGGGGAGUGGAAAUAUACAUAACUUUAAAAUGUGUUAGAAAAGAAUCUACUACUCAUUUGAAAUUCAGAGUAAAUGCUAAUGUAUUGUUUUGUUAUCUUGCAUUUGUUGAUUAUGCAAAUCUGCUGUGUUUACUGGUCCUUUAAUACAGAUAAUGUAACCUCCUCUAACCAGUAGAGGUAUAUGUUAAACUGUGGGAAAACAAUAAGGGGUGAAAAACAUACCAAGCCCCAAAUCAAUAACUUUCCUAUAAAUAAUUUUUAUUAAACCGGCAUGGAGUGCUGCUCAUAAAGAAGGUUUUAAUUUAACUUUCAAUUGAAACCUCUGUAAAAUAAUAAGUAUCACAGCUAGUAAUUUUGAGACAUAAAAUUAAGUAAUAUAAUAAACUUCUAUAUAUGUUUCAUGUGAUGAAACAUUGUGUUGAUUUAGAUAAAUUGCAUCCAAAAUGGAUUUGUGCAUGUGAUCUAUUGCUUGCCUCUGUUCUUUGUUGACACGGGCUAAUGCCCUGUCUAUGUAUCUAUGUAAAUCCUUUCUCAUAUUGUUGAACGCUUUUGUCAAUUUUUUUGUUGCAAGUAAAUUUUCAAGAAGUAAUUCUUCCGUCUGGCUAUACCGAGGUUGUGUUUCCGGUUCUGUUGGCUUGUUUGUUCCAGUUGAGGUGGUUGAUUCUGGGCUGUCUGCUCAUCCACAAUGGGGGCAUGAUGUUCUGUUGAUGGUUGGACAACGCUGACAGAUGACGAUGUUUGUUAUAACUUACGUGGAGGAGUAGUGGGCAUCUCUCCACUUCCAGAGGCUGCUACUGGUGGGAUCCGAAUCCGAGUUACUAACACUGUUAAAUAUAGAAUAAAAUCAGCACAAGCCAAGGUACUUACCAGAACUAGGCUGAGACGUGCUUGGGGCUGAUCGCCCUGCAGAGUAUUUUCGGUGAUCUGGAAAACAUCAAGGAUAAGAGACAGAUUCGUCUCUCCUACUUGAGCUUCCGUCACCAGUGACAACAGACUCUUCAAGAAGCUUGUACCGCACCUCCAUCUCCCAGCACCUCCAUCUCCCAACUGUUGAAACGCACUCUCUUUGUGGAGUGCAUCAAUGACAUCUUCUUUUUGACAAUUGCCCUGCAAUCAUAAUACCUAUAAAUCAAAUAGAAAACAUAUUUUUGGUUAGAAAAUAAUUAAAAAAAAACAUUUGAAAAACUA